UGUUCACUACCGAAGCAGCAGUACAACGUAACAAUCACGUCUAUGUGUCUUCUACGGAAAUUCAGAAUCUGAAUUUUUGAAGGUUUGAUCAAAAUAUAUUUCUCCUCUGUGUUUGUGAACAGAACAGGUGAAAUGAAGGUUUUUGCCAGGAUAAUUUUUCUAAGUUUCUGCUACAAGAGUACUACCCCAUGUAAAACAGGACUAAAGGCAUUCAUGUUUUCUUACAGCGAGACACAGAGUACACUCUUCUGCUCCUGAGAGGCGACUUGCCAUGGUUGAGUGUCAUUGAGGAACCUGCUCAGAGUGUGUGACGGCUGUGGAUUGUCACAGAGGCCCAGCAGACGGUGAGAUGGUACAGCGGGGCUUAUGAUCACACCAAGGCUCUGCCUCGUCGGCCACACCACUGCCUAACACCGCUCACAUCUCCUCAGGCACUCACCUCUGAGAGCCGUGCUUACUUUCAAUGCAAAGGAUGAAACUUGAGAAUACUGUCACGAUAAAAGCUUUUUAAUGUCAUAUUUCGUGCCUUAACUGUGGAAAAGUAUGGUUUUUCAUGUAACAAAAAAUAUAAAUUUUUCACUGCAUGUGUUUUUAUAUUUUCCUUGUGCACCUUGAAUAAAAAGUAUGUUGCCUUUG